rnacentral:rRNA from 1 species
ACGGGAGGCAGCAGUGGGGAAUAUUGCACAAUGGGGGAAACCCUGAUGCAGCGACGCCGCGUGAGUGAAGAAGUAUUUCGGUAUGUAAAGCUCUAUCAGCAGGAAAGAAAAUGACGGUACCUGACUAAGAAGCCCCGGCUAACUACGUGCCAGCAGCCGCGGUAAUACGUAGGGGGCAAGCGUUAUCCGGAUUUACUGGGUGUAAAGGGAGCGUAGACGGUAAGGCAAGUCUGAAGUGAAAUGCCAGGGCUCAACCCUGGAACUGCUUUGGAAACUGUCCUACUAGAGUGCAGGAGAGGUAAGUGGAAUUCCUAGUGUAGCGGUGAAAUGCGUAGAUAUUAGGAGGAACACCAGUGGCGAAGGCGGCUUACUGGACUGUAACUGACGUUGAGGCUCGAAAGCGUGGGGAGCAACCAGGAUUAGAUACCCUGGUA